AACAAAUAAUAAGAAUUCUUAAAGAAAUAUUAGAAGGAUCACAAAUAUCACUCAAAUACAUCUCAAUUCAAUCUUAAUUUAAUUGUAGUUAAAAUCCUAUUGAACUUCAUUCAAACUUUAGGCCAAAACUAAUUGAAUCUUAAAUCCUAAUAAAAUCCUAAACCCUAAAUCCUAAAUCAAACCCUAAAAAAACCUUAAACCAAACUCCAACCAAAUCCUAAACCAAAUCAUAAUCAAAUCAUAAACUCUACAUCAAAUCCUAACUAAAUCCUAAUCCAAAUCCUAAAUCAUAAACCAAACCCUAAUUAAACCCUAAUUGAAUCCUAAAUCCUAAAUUAAAUCCUAAUUAAAUCCUUAAUCCUAAAUCAAAUCUUAACAAAACCCUAAAUCAAAUCUUAAUAAAAUCCUAAAUCCUAAACCAAAUCCUAAAUAAAUCCUAAAUAAAUCCUAAUAUAAAUCCUAAAUCCUAAACCAAAUCCUAAAUAAAUCCUAAUAAAAUCCUAAUACAAAUCUUAAACCCUAAAUAAAUAUUAAUCAAACCCUAAUCCAAAUCCUAGUAAUUCCUAUAACAGAUUUAAAUCUCAAUAACUAAUGAAUAAAUUAUUGAUCUUAACUCAAAUUUUGUAUAAUUUAAAAUAUGUAAGUUAAAAACAAGCACAAAAAAAUUAAAAAGGAUUGAAGUUACCAAAUUGACGAUAACCUCAAAAAUGUGCUCGGGUAUUGGCCGACCUCCUUCUCCAAUCAUGAUGCCAAUCUUCCAGAGCCAAUAUCUCUCCUUUGCACCAUUCGAUUGAUUUCAAAAUUCUCAUAUACAUAGAAAAUCAAGUCUAAUAUCCU
rnacentral:lncRNA from 1 species